UACGAAGGGGGCUAGCGUUGUUCGGAUUUACUGGGCGUAAAGCGCACGUAGGCGGAUCGUUAAGUCGGGGGUGAAAUCCUGGAGCUCAACUCCAGAACUGCCUUCGAUACUGGCGAUCUUGAGUCCGGAAGAGGUGAGUGGAACUCCUAGUGUAGAGGUGGAAUUCGUAGAUAUUAGGAAGAACACCAGUGGCGAAGGCGGCUUUCUGGUCUGUAACUGACGCUGAGGCGCGAAAGCGUGGGGAGCAAACAGG
rnacentral:rRNA from 1 species